GCCAGUGUAGUACAAUGGUUUGAGUGUUGGACUACACCUUUGGAGACCAGGGUUCGAAUCCCAGCUCGGUCA